rnacentral:rRNA from 1 species
UACGUAGGGGGCAAGCGUUGUCCGGAUUUAUUGGGCGUAAAGAGCGUGUAGGCGGUUUGGUAGGUCCGCUGUGAAAACUCGAGGCUCAACCUCGAGACGCCGGUGGAAACCAUCAGACUAGAGUCCGGAAGAGGAGAGUGGAAUUCCUGGUGUAGCGGUGAAAUGCGCAGAUAUCAGGAGGAACACCGGUGGCGAAGGCGGUUCUCUGGGCCUGUACUGACGCUGAGGAGCGAAAGCGUGGGGAGCAAACAGG